GCCCUAGUAGCUCAGAGUUAGAGCG
rnacentral:tRNA from 1 species